GACGAACGCUGGCGGCGUGCCUAAUACAUGCAAGUCGAACGCUGAAGGAGGAGCUUGCUUCUCUGGAUGAGUUGCGAACGGGUGAGUAACGCGUAGGUAACCUGCCUUGUACCGUGGGAUAACUAUUGGAAACGAUAGCUAAUACCGCAUAAGAGUAGAUGUUGCAUGACAUUUGCUUAAAAGUUUCAAUUGCUUCACUACCAGUUGGACCUGCGUUGUAUUAGCUAGUGGGUGUGGUAACGGCUCACCAAGGCGACGAUACAUAGCAGCACUGAGAUGGUGGUUAGCCGGCCUGGGACGGUGACACGGCACAGACGGACAGGGGAGGCAGCAGGAGGGCAACGUGGGGCAGGGACGGAAGUCUGACCAAGCAAGGCCGAAGGAGGGAAGAAGGUUGUCGGGUCGGAAAGGACGGUUGUAAGGGAAGAAACAGCGUGAGAGUGGAAAGUUCACACUGUGACGGUAUCUGAUCAGAAAGCGACGGCUAACUACGUG
rnacentral:rRNA from 1 species